GUGGAGUCCUGCAAUUGAAAGGAAAUCUCUUUUGACAAGUUCAUUCUUACAGGAUCGAGAUUCACUGGGACACCUUGUAAACAGAGCUAGUUGUGUGCAAACUGACUGCCAGAUUAUGGAUUAACUGUUUCCAGUGGUAGAAGGUUCCGUAAGCAGAGGCAUACAGGGAGUUAGUGAGUAUGAGAAAGAAGCCUCCAAAAACCAAAAAUAAGGCCCUGAAAAUCAAUAAGUAACCCACAAGGCUCCAGAUCACCACACCAGCUUGAAAUGACUUUCUUUGAUCCCUCAGAAAACCAAAGCACAGGAAAAACAAAAUCCAAACAACAGGUACAAACAUGAGACUGGCUUUAAUAUGAGAAAAAGGAUUCAUAUUUGUAUGGAAAAUAAGUGAAAUCCAAGGAGAUGCCACUAAUUUUCACAGUUCCCUGUGUGACUGGAUUAAAUGCUGCCUGUACUUUUGUUGCCGUUAACUUUGAUAUUUCAAAAAUUCCUGCUUCCUUCAAACUUACACAAAUGGAAAUCAAUAUUUAGCUAAACUCCAUUUCAUUCAUCGAUUCUUGUGUUCUGUGAGAAGCAUUUGUAAUUAGCUGUAUUCUAUCUCAACUACACAACAAAAGAAAUGCUUUAAAGGUUUAAGUUCGAAUGAGGGAGGGGAGGAAAAUCUUGCAUUUAUAUAGCACCGUUUGCAUACUCAGAACACUCCAAAGUGCUUCAAUCAACAAGGUGGCUUUGAAAUGUGGUAAUUUUGUAAGAAAGAAACAUAUCAAAAAUGUCAUGGGCCUUUUUAUUGAAUAGUUAAUACAACUGAGUGGUUUGCUCUGCCACUUUAAAGGGCACUUAAAAGUCAGUCACUAUGCUGUGAAACUGGAGACACAAACAGACAGCCCAGAUAAAGAUGGCAUGAUCUUUUACCUAAUAGUUACAGAGAAAUAUAUAAACUGUACAAUACAAAAACGAGCCAUUAGCCCAACAGAUCUGUACUUUGUUCUUUCUCUACAUGACCUUGUCCACACCACUCUAUCUCGUCCUAACAACAUAUCCUCCUAUUCUUUUAUCCCACAAGAUCUAGCUUCCGCUUAAAUGCAUCAUCUAGCUUUGUCCUUAAUUGUGAACUGCUGCAGUAUUUAAUGUGUGCAGCACC